GACGAACGCUGGCGGCGUGCUUAACACAUGCAAGUCGAACGGAAAGGCCUGCUUUCCCCUGUGGUUUGCGGGUACUCGAGUGGCGAACGGGUGAGUAACACGUGAGUGAUCUGCCCCCAACUUGGGUAUAAGCCUGGGAAACUGGGUCUAAUUCCCGAUAGGACUGCAGGGUGGUGCCUGUGGUGGAAGACGUUCUUCUAGUGGUUGGGGAUGAGCUCGCGGCCUAUCAGCUUGUUGGUGGGGUAAUGGCCUACCAAGGCGGCGACGGGUAGCCGGCGUGGGAGGGUGGACGGCCACAUUGGGACUGGGACACGGCCCAGACGCCUACGGGAGGCAGCAGUGGGGAAUAUUGCACAAUGGGCGGAAGCCUGAUGCAGCGACGCCGCGUGGGGGAUGACGGCCUUCGGGUUGUAAACUCCUUUCGACCGCGAGGAAGCCACCUGGUUGGAAGGGUGGUGACGGUAGUGGUAGAAGAAGCACCGGCUAACUACGUG
rnacentral:rRNA from 1 species